UACAGAGACCUCAAGCGUUAUCCGGAAUCAUUGGGCGUAAAGCGUACCGAUAGGUGGUUUAUUAAGUCUUGGGUAAAAGCCGGAAGCUCAACUUCCGCGUUUGCUUAAGAUACUAAUAGACUAGAGGGGCAAAGAGGAGAUUGGAACGAACGGUGUAGUAGUGAAAUGCGUUGAUAUCGUUCGGAACACCGAAAGCGAAGGCAGAUCUCUGGGUGCCACCUGACACUGCUAGGACGAAAGCGUGGGGAGCGAAUGGG
rnacentral:rRNA from 1 species